GUACAAAGAGUAAAGGAGAGGUGAUAAGACAGUGAGAAUCUCCUGUGCUCAGGGCGAAGGGCUUAAGAGGUGGUGUCUUUCAGCUGCUGUUUCUUAAACAAGCAGAGGCGUUACAGAGUAAAAAAGAGGAUUACAGCAUGGGCAAUGUAUACUUCAAAGCAGAAACCCUCCUACUUGUUUCGGCAAGAUUUAUUGAUACACAUCCUGCUAAAGCCUGUCACUUUGCUGUGGACAACAAUGGGAACCACAGCUGAAACUUUAAAAAAAAAAUCCUUGAAAAGGAAACGUGUAGCAGGAAUGCAAAACUUGCUUGAGGUUUCCCAACUAUCCUUUGUUAUGUUUCCUGACAUUUGUAAAGUGUUUUUAAAACUGAGAACAGGGGGCACUUCUUUACCCAAGGGGUUAUGGGAGUGUGGAGAAAACUUCCCAGCCAUGCUGUUGAAACUGAUGCUAUGGCUUCUUUCAAUAAACUUCCCAAUGGGGUUAAUGAGCCAAGAGGCCUUCUCUGUUUUGUUUUUUGUAAUUUAGGUUCCCUCUUCUUUUUUCUUAUGUUAACAUUAGAUGUAUCCCCAUGAAAACAGACAAAUCUAGUAGAGCAGUCUGCUAGCAGAUAUUAAAUAUCCCUCUGUUCAUUUUCAGCAAAGACUUCAAGAACAUCACCUGGGGUACUCAUAGCAGGAAUUGUGUUAAUCCUUGCAGCAGCAGGUGUAUUAAUAUUUACUUGGUACAAACGCAGACAGCAAAAGGAGGAAAGAACAGAGUCUAAUUACUCAGAUGAGAAUGAAGGAGAUGCCAGAACGCCAAUGUCCGCACUAUCAAACCAAGGUUCUGCAGUUCCAAGAGAUCCACAGGAUGAUCAGAUCACCUCCCACUGAUAUUGGAUUUAGUCAGCUUAGCACUCAGACAGCCCAGAACAGCUGAUAUGUCACAAGGAAGAAGGACUUUAAUAACAGUGUGAAAAGUCAUAUGAAGAGGGAACUUACUUGAUAAGCAAUAUAUUUAAUGUUGAACCUUGUGUGCAUUAAAUGGUGGUGGAGCCUAAUGUUGUUACUUUUAUUGUAGUGGUGUAGGAGAUAUGGGGAGGAAUUUGGGUUUAAGUGUGAGAAAGUUAGCUAAAAUGUUUGCUGUGUGAAGAGGUCUAUUUGGAGGUGACAUCUAAUAAUAAUAAUUAAAUUAAAUUAAUAAUAAUUAAAAGUUAUAGAAAAGCAUGAUGUCAUUUUUGUUUAUAGAUGCAAGAAGACACUUAUUUAUUAAUUUCACUAACACUACUUCUCACAUUAAGUAUUGAUGACUGAAAAUGUUUGUUUUUUUUAAAGUAAUCCAUUUCAGACUUUUCAAAUUGCGACAGUAUCCCCAUGUAUACUGGGUUUUGUUCUAGCUGAGUUCAAGUUUCCCUAAUAAUUUAGCCUUAAUCAAGCAGGUUUGAGAAUUUGUUUUGGAAAUUAAAAUGGCAGACACUGGAGGUCUCUCCAGAAUGAGGACUGACAUCUUUGUCUCGUGUUCCAUGUGCACUUAUAUUCGGCUGUUCCAGUUCAUGUUCAUGUUGUUUUUCUUUAUUGGCUUCUUAAAGUGCCAGCUCAAUGCUUGCCUUUCCAGUAGUGAUGUUUCAGGUCAGGUAAAAAAAGAUCGAUCUUUUUGCAUACUUGCAAUGGUACUGAAGCCAUUGAGCCCCAGAGCUGAUCUGAGAAACUAAGCAAAGGUAGGUUGUUGCUGGGCCAGAGCUUGGUCAGUACUGAAGAGCCAGGUUGCUUCUUUAAAUGAUGCUGGUGAACCCACAGGGGGUUUCCCCACUGGACAAGAAUCGCCAGGCCAUUGCCCCAGUAAAUUGUCCAGGGGCAUCGAGCUGCAGGAGAUGAUGUAAUAGGUACGAAUGACAAUAGGGAUCCUAUUACUUGGUCACUAAAUAUCUCAUUGCAGUGUGAUUGAGAGUAGAAUACGAAUUGUUUGGAAUUUUUUUUGCUGAGAUCUUUAUAUCCUUCCCCCCUGCCUUCUCUCUUUUAAAUGUUGUGUGAAAUGUAGAUUUAGGUCGUUUUCUGUAAUCUAGCUCAAAAGGUACGCAACUUCAAUUUUGAAACCCUGUACAUUGUUUGCACUGAUGUAAUGUACAGUGUUAUACAGGUGCUUGUCAUUAAAUGGGACAGAUGUACUUUGCAGCUUUGUUCAAAUUAGUUUAAAUGAUGUUAUUUAAGUUGUCACGAAGAGAGUCAUCAUUUCAAGAGUUGUUUUAUAACGUUUGUGUUAUGCUUUAGCUUUAUGGGGAAUAAUAUAUCUAUUUAUUCCUGUGUGUUUUAUGUUUUCAUAAAUUAAACCUGAUAAUGCUA